rnacentral:rRNA from 1 species
GGGGGGGGGGGGGGGGGGGGUGGGGGCGGGGGGGGCGGGGGGGGGGGGGGGGGGUGGGGGGGGUGCUCGGGGGGGGGGCGGGUGAGUGACACGGGAGUAAGCUGCCGUUGACGGUGGGAUAACUGCAGGAGACUGGGGCUAAUACCGGGUAGGGGCUCCGGCUGCAUGGGGGGGGUGGGAAAGGUUCGGGGGGUGGGGUAGGACUCGGGGGGUAUCAGCGUGUUGGUGGGGUUGUGGCUUACCAAGGCUUUGACGGGUAGCCGGCCUGAGAGGGUGACCGGCCACAUUGGGACUGAGAUGAGGCCCAGAGUCCUAAGGGGGGCAGCAGUGGGGAAUAGUGCACAAUGGGCGGAAGCCGUAUGCAGCAACGCCGCGUGCGGGAUGACGGCCUUCGGGUUGUAAACCGCUUUCGCCUGUGACGAAGCGUGAGUGACGGUAAUGGGUAAAGAAGCACCGGCUAACUACGUG